rnacentral:rRNA from 1 species
AUUGAACGCUGGCGGCAUGCCUUACACAUGCAAGUCGAACGGCAGCACGGGAGCAAUCCUGGUGGCGAGUGGCGAACGGGUGAGUAAUAUAUCGGAACGUGCCCAGUCGUGGGGAUAACGUAGCGAAAGCUACGCUAAUACCGCAUACGAUCUAUGGAUGAAAGCGGGGGAUCGCAAGACCUCGCGCGAUUGGAGCGGCCGAUAUCAGAUUAGGUAGUUGGUGAGGUAAAGGCUCACCAAGCCGACGAUCUGUAGCUGGUCUGAGAGGACGACCAGCCACACUGGGACUGAGACACGGCCCAGACUCCUACGGGAGGCAGCAGUGGGGAAUUUUGGACAAUGGGCGAAAGCCUGAUCCAGCAAUGCCGCGUGCAGGAAGAAGGCC